UUCGGCAAAAGAUUUGGGUAUCUCUCCACUCAAGCCAUUGUAACUCAAAUCUCUACAGCAACGAAGAUAAAUAAAUGAACUAUUUUAUCAUGCUUGAUAGUUGUCUUUAUAAUCUUCCUCCAGCAUUCACAAGUUUCAUUAUUACUCAAAGAGACAGGCAUGAAUAGCAAGGUCUAUGUUAGAAGUUCAAAAGAGACACAUAGAUCACUAGAGCAACAACCAUUCAACUUUGAAAAAUUAAUCUACACAGCAAAGACAAUCUGUUUCAUUUACACAAGAAUUUCAACGUAAAGUACAAUCAUAGGAGGAGAUGAUAAGAGUACUUAUGCCAAAAUUACUAGUUGUUAACCUGAUGCACACCACUGCUUGCUUUGUAUAUUUUCCUACUACUUUGGAGCAACAUUUUCUGUAUAUUUGGGCAGAAAUAAGAUCAAGGGAGAUAAGUUGUUCUGUUCUGCAAACUAUUUCUUAGACUUAGAGCUAUUUUAGAUAAGGACUAAAGAGAAAAUAAUUCAUCAUUUUUCUUUGUCUCCUUGUCUUAACAUUUUAGUUUACUGUUUUCUUGCAUUUCAAGUUUUUGUUUCUCCUCUUUGAAUGAAGUUUCAUGGUAAUUAUUAUUUA